GAUGAACGCUGGCGGCGUGCUUAACACAUGCAAGUCGAACGGAAAGGCCCAAGCUUGCUUGGGUACUCGAGUGGCGAACGGGUGAGUAACACGUGGGUGAUCUGCCCUGCACUUCGGGAUAAGCCUGGGAAACUGGGUCUAAUACUGGAUAGGACCACUUCUUGGAUGUUGUGGUGGAAAGUUUUUUCGGUGUGGGAUGAGCUCGCGGCCUAUCAGCUUGUUGGUGGGGUAAUGGCCUACCAAGGCGUCGACGGGUAGCCGGCCUGAGAGGGUGUACGGCCACAUUGGGACUGAGAUACGGCCCAGACGCCUACGGGAGGCAGCAGGGGGGAAUAUUGCACAAUGGGCGCAAGCCUGAUGCAGCGACGCCGCGUGGGGGAGGACGGCCUUCGGGUUGUAAACUCCUUUCGCUAGGGACGAAGCGUUUUGUGACGGUACCUGGAGAAGAAGCACCGGCUAACUACGUG
rnacentral:rRNA from 1 species